rnacentral:rRNA from 1 species
AUGGCGGCGGUGGUCGGCGUCCUCGCGCUGCAGGGCUCCUACAACGAGCACAUGGCCGCGCUGAGGAGGAUCGGGGCCAAGGGGGUGGAGGUGCGGAAGGCGGAGCAGCUGCUUGGCAUCGACUCCCUCAUCAUCCCCGGCGGCGAGAGCACCACCAUGGCCAAGCUCGCCAACUUCCACAACCUCUUUCCUGCACUUCGAGAGUUUGUCGGCACAGGAAAACCCGUAUGGGGAACCUGUGCUGGGCUCAUCUUCCUUGCUAACAAGGCAGUAGGGCAGAAAACAGGAGGCCAGGAGCUUGUUGGUGGACUAGAUUGUACUGUCCACCGUAACUUUUUUGGUAGCCAGCUUCAAAGCUUCGAAACAGAACUUUCAGUGCCAAUGCUUGCAGAGAAGGAAGGAGGGAGUCAUACAUGCCGUGGCGUAUUUAUACGAGCACCUGCUAUCCUAGAAGUAGGCCAGGAUGUUGAAGUAUUAGCCGAUUGCCCUGUUCCUGCUGGCAGACCCAGCAUUACAAUAACAUCUGGCGAGGGUUUGGAGGACCAAGUGUACUCCAAAGAUCGGGUGAUUGUUGCAGUUCGGCAAGGGAACAUCCUUGCCACCGCAUUCCACCCAGAGCUAACAUCAGACUCUAGAUGGCAUCGCCUCUUCUUGGACAUGGACAAAGAAUCUCAAGCAAAGGCCUUGGCUGCGCUAUCGCUAUCUGCAUCCUCAAACGAUGCAGAUGUUGGGUCGAAGAAUAAGGCUCCUGAUCUACCCAUUUUCGAGUAG